CUCCACUAUGGGAUUUUUAGUGAUCCCAAAAAUAUGUUCCCAAUAGCUUACCAUAAAUAGUAGAAUAUAAUGGCUACUGGAAAUAAUGCAAAGAUUAAAGUGGCAGUCAUCAUUAGGAUCUUUGAAAACACAACACAACACACACACACAUACACACACAGCCUUUUCCCUGCAAAAAGCCUCACACACGGCUCUCGCUUAACAGUCUGAGCGCGUUCUAACAGUGUCGGAGCCAAAUACACACACACACGCCGAACCGUAUAGAAACACUACACAUGUUAUAGAGGAGUGCAAAUCACAAACCUCACCAUAUUUUAUACACACACGCACACACAACUCAAGUCCUUUCAGUUACCGGUAACUUGACUAAUCAAAAGAAAAUAUUUGCAAAAAUGUACUCGAUCAGCUAAUUUUAGCAAAUUCUAGUAUCUGAAUCGAUUAAUCACCGAGUCAAUCGCUUUGGGCCACACCUCCUCCUCCUCUGAUGUUUCUGUGACACCAAACAUCAAACGUGCGGAAGGAGAAACUAAUCUGGUGACUGUUUCGAGCUCUGUGACGUCCUUUUGUCCGUGUUUUUAUACGUAACAGUGAGUCAUGCCGAGUCAGAAAGCCUGUUCAAUUCAUUGAAUAACUCCGCAAAGCUGAUUCGUUCGUUCGUUCAGUACACCAUGUUAAACUGGUGGCUAUAAGCCUCCUCUACUUGUUAGCUACAUUAGCCUUGCAAACAUCAGACACCAAACAUGUCUUGGCUGGUCUUCUUAUUUUGAUUCAUUGAUUCAAUUGACUCAGAUUGAUUCACCUUGGCUUGUGUUAAUUAGUAGGCGAAUCUAAUUAUUGUGAAUCUGUUGUUUAUAGAAUUAUAAACAUAGAAUUGUGUUUGUGUGUGUAUACACACACACACACACACACACACACACACACACACACCACAGCACUAAGAGUUCACACUGGAACUAUUACAGUGAGAAAUUGUGUAUUACUGUGUGUUAUAAAGAGAAACUGGUAUGGCUUGUAUCUUGUGUGUGUGUGUGUGUGUGUGUGUGUGUGUGUGCACGAGAGAGAGAGAGUGCAAGUGUGUGUAAGUGUGUUUUCAUGUGUUUAGCCCCGGUGCAGUUUCCUCAGUUCGGCAGCCACUCUCCUCAACUGGGCUUCGAUCUCCAACAGCUCCUGUCUCACACACACACACACACACACACACACACACACACACAAACACACAAUGUCAACUUGUUUCAAAGACGUCUCCCAUCAUUAAAUGUAACUAUAAAUGGAUAAAACGUAUGACGUGCUGUCCUUUAAUAAAUUAAUAUACCAGCUACAUGUCAUUUUUAUAUGAAUUUUUAAAACCUCAGAUUCGUCUUGCUCCUCCUCCUCGUCUUCAUCGCCAUCUUCCUCCUCCUCCUCCUCAUCGCUGUAUCGCUCCUUCUCGAACUGCCGCGUCCUCUCGUCACUCGCUUUCUCCAUCUCCCUCUUCUGCUGUGGCUCUUUUGUCUCGGGGGUCGUGUCUUCCUCCUUUCCCUUCUCUCCCUCUGUCGGCGCUUCCUGCUCCUCCUUCACUCUCUCCAUCUUGUGCACCAGCUCCUGCAGCUCCUCCUCCUUCUCCUGCCUCUCCCUCAUCUUCGUCUCGUCACUCGUCAGCGCCUGGAGCUCAUGCUCCACCUUCUCUUUCUCAGCUGUCAGCUCCGCCUCGUUCUUACUCCUCUCCUUCUCCUCCACUUCCCCGUCCUUCUCGGAGUUUACCUCCUCUUUUCUCAGCUCCUCCAACUCUGCAUCGUCUUUCCUCCCCUCUUCUUUCUUCCGGAUCUGUUCAGCCAGCAGUUCCUCCAGCUCUCGGGCGCUCUCCUCCUCCUCUUCUUCUUUGUUUCCUUGUUUCCGGGCCUCCAUCUGUUCUUCAUCCCUCCGUCUAGCCUGUUUCCCGUCCUCCUGGUCAUCCAGGUCGUUCAGGUCGUACUCCUCCGUCUCCCGAGUGUCAUGAUGUUCUCUUUCAAACUCUGAGGAAAAAAAUGACAAGCCUUAGGCUGUGUCCUAAACCAAAUACUUCCCUUCCAUUACCUUCUAAAGAGUGCACACCAUGUAGAAGUAAUAAAUGGUAAUUACAGUAAUAAAUGUAGAAUUAAUAUGGUAGUAUGAAAUUUGGGAAAUAUCCUUAGUUUUUGCCAGAGCUCCUGUCAACUGUGAAGAAGGCGUGACCGUUGUGUAGGUCAUUCACCCUAAAGGGGGCAUGACCUGUGUCAGUCAUUCACACUAAAGGGGGUGUGGUCUAUACCAGUCAGUCUCAGUGGAGGAGGUGGGGUCGUUGUGUAGGUCAUUCACACUAAAGGGGUUUGGCCUAUACCAGUCAGUCUCAGUGGAGGAGGCGGGGUCAUUGUGUAGGUCAUUCACACCAAAGGUUGCAUCAUUCUUAAUGAAGAAGGUGUGGCCUGGGUUUUGUGCCUGUCAUUCACACUAAAUGAGCCAUGGUCUCUAUGGCUGUCAGUCUAAGUGAAGGAGGCGUGGCCUCUCACCCCUUGGCUGCUUUAAAUGUCAUAUAUACCAGAUGUGUGUGUGAACACUGACCAUGUUCAACCAGCUCCUGUAGCUCUCUCAGCAGACCCUGGUGCCGCUUUUCAGCGGUCAGAAUGUCAUCUGAAACACACACACACACACACACACACAUUACUUAAUCAUAACCAAUUUGAAAAGACUAGUCCAUCUUACCUAAUGCAGACAACACUGUAGUAAGGAAAGAAAGAAAAAAAUCAAUCAUUUACAAGUGUGUAUUUUCAUGAGCAGGGUCAGAAGCUCACCUGUCAACUGUGCAUCACAGCCUGCUUGGGGCCAGUGUCCAUCAGUUUUCAUACUCGCAUCCUCCAAGCAAUCGCUUCCCUAAAAACAUACACCUGUUAGCGUAUUAUUAAAUCCAG
ensembl:lncRNA